UCAUAUAUGCAUGUAUGUGUGUGUAUAUAUAAUAUAUAUAUAUAUAUAUAUAUAUAUAUAUAUAUAUAUAUAUGUGAGAGAGUUGGUGUGUGAAAGCACGUGGUUAGAUAUAUAAAAAAUAUAUAAUAAAUGAUUUACAGCUUUUAUGCACAACCCUCAACUCAAUUUUCAUUAACAAACCCAACAAUGAACAACAACCACCUAUCCACAACACCUUCAACAAAUUCAUUUUAAAACAAGAACAAAUUAGUAAAGAUUUGAACACUAUGCACAACACUAAAGUCGGUAUUCACAAACAAACCGAACAACGACCAGCGCACACCAAAUGAAACACACCAGGACGUCAUACUUACACAAGUCAAUCUAACAAAAAGAAAAAUAGAAAACAUUUGGAAUACAAACCUCCAUAAUAGAAAACUCGCUUUCUGGAAUAUGAUAAAAAAUCCCAACAAAGCAGAUAUCUACGAGGGAUGGAUGAACUCAACACCAAUUAUCCUCCCACGCAAAUUCCAGAUCAAAACAAUACCUAAUGAACCUGACGGACAGAGGACUAUUAGGGAAAGAUCAGCACUAUUCCAUCUAAAAUCAGAGGUAGAACUACUAAGACUUAGGGCCUCCACUUAUGAAGAAAAAUAUAAAAACAUUGACGAGGAGAUGCAUAGGGAAAUAAAGAAACAAACCAAGGGAUAACCCCUUGAAAAUACCAUAAAUCUUUGGAAAGAAGUCUGUGAAAAUGAAGAAAGAAAUUCUCUCCUACGCUGGGAAAAAAGCAAUGAUUUCUUCCAAAGAUAUGCAUCAACUUUUUAAAAAAGAAUUUGGUGCAGAUAAUCCUUUUCUAAAGAAAAAAAAACAAGAAAUAACAAACAAAAACUGAACAAUGCACAAAC